rnacentral:rRNA from 1 species
AUUGAACGCUGGCGGCAGGCUUAACACAUGCAAGUCGAGCGGGGUGAUGGUGCUUGCACUAUCGCUUAGCGGCGGACGGGUGAGUAAUGCUUAGGAAUCUGCCUAUUAGUGGGGGACAACAUCUCGAAAGGGAUGCUAAUACCGCAUACGUCCUACGGGAGAAAGCAGGGGAUCACUUGUGACCUUGCGCUAAUAGAUGAGCCUAAGUCGGAUUAGCUAGUUGGUGGGGUAAAGGCCUACCAAGGCGACGAUCUGUAGCGGGUCUGAGAGGAUGAUCCGCCACACUGGGACUGAGACACGGCCCAGACUCCUACGGGAGGCAGCAGUGGGGAAUAUUGGACAAUGGGAGGAACCCUGAUCCAGCCAUGCCGCGUGUGUGAAGAAGGCCUUAUGGUUGUAAAGCACUUUAAGCGAGGAGGAGGCUCUUUUGGUUAAUACCCAAGAUGAGUGGACGUUACUCGCAGAAUAAGCACCGGCUAACUCUGUGCCAGCAGCCGCAGUAA